rnacentral:rRNA from 1 species
UACGUAGGGAGCGAGCGUUACCCGGAUUUAUUGGGCGUAAAGGGUGCGUAGGCGGCUUGUUAAGUAUGAAAUUAAAGCCCGGGGCUUAACUCCGGUUCGUUUCAUAAACUGGCUAGCUUGAGUAUGGAAGAGGUAAACGGAAUUUCUAGUGUAGCGGUGAAAUGCGUAGAUAUUAGAAGGAACACCAGUGGCGAAGGCGGUUUACCGGGCCAUUACUGACGCUGAGGCACGAAAGCGUGGGGAGCAAAUA